AUUGAACGCUGGCGGCAGGCCUAACACAUGCAAGUCGGACGGUAGCACAGAGAGCUUGCUCUUGGGUGACGAGUGGCGGACGGGUGAGUAAUGUCUGGGGAUCUGCCCGAUAGAGGGGGAUAACCACUGGAAACGGUGGCUAAUACCGCAUAACGUCGCAAGACCAAAGAGGGGGACCUUCGGGCCUCUCACUAUCGGAUGAACCCAGAUGGGAUUAGCUAGUAGGCGGGGUAAUGGCCCACCUAGGCGACGAUCCCUAGCUGGUCUGAGAGGAUGACCAGCCACACUGGAACUGAGACACGGUCCAGACUCCUACGGGAGGCAGCAGUGGGGAAUAUUGCACAAUGGGCGCAAGCCUGAUGCAGCCAUGCCGCGUGUAUGAAGAAGGCCUUCGGGUUGUAAAGUACUUUCAGCGGGGAGGAAGGCGACGCGGCUAAUAACCGCGUCGAUUGACGUUACCCGCAGAAGAAGCACCGGCUAACUCCGUGCCAGCCGCCGCCGUAA
rnacentral:rRNA from 1 species